CCUAAGGUAGCGAAAUUCCUUGUCAGGUAAGUUCUGACCCGCACGAAUGGCGUAAUGAUUUGGGCACUGUCUCAACAGCCCGCCCGGCGAAAUUGUAGUACUGGUGAAGAUGCCAGUUACCCGCAACUAGACGGAAAGACCCCAUGGAGCUUUACUGUAGCUUAAUACUGAAGAUCGGUAAUGCAUGUACAGGAUAGGUGGGAGCCAGCGAAACCGGGCCGUCAGGUUCGGCGGAGGCAACCUUGGAAUACCACCCUUGUAUUGCUGGUUUUCUAACCUGCGGCCGUGAAUCCGGUCGGGGGACACUGUUAGGCGGGCAGUUUGACUGGGGCGGUCGCCUCCAAAAGAGUAACGGAGGCGCUCAAAGGUUCGUUCAGCACGGACGGAAAUCGUGCAUUGAGUGUAAACGCAUAAACGAGCCUAACUGCGAGACCGACGGGUCGAGCAGUAACGAAAGUUGGAGUUAGUGAUCCGGUGGUAUGUGAGUGGAAAUGCCAUCGCUCAACGGAUAAAAGCUACCCUGGGGAUAACAGGCUGAUCUCCCCCAAGCGUCCACAGCGACGGGGAGGUUUGGCACCUCGAUGUCGGCUCGUCACAUCCUGGGGCUGAAUUCGGUCCCAAGGGUUCGGCUGUUCGCCGAUUAAAGUGGCACGCGAGCUGGGUUCAGAACGUCGUGAGACAGUUCGGUCCCUAUCUGUUGCGGGCGUAAGAGAUUUGAAGGGAGCUGUCCUUAGUACGAGAGGACCGGGAUGGACUGACCUCUGGUGCACCAGUUGUCGUGCCAACGGCACAGCUGGGUAGCUAUGUCGGGACGAGAUAAACGCUGAAGGCAUCUAAGCGUGAAACUCCCCCUAAGAUAAGAUCUCCCAUCCUUUAUGGAGUAAGGGUCCAUGUAGACUACAUGGUUGAUAGGCCGGCGGUGUAAGCGCAGUAAUGUGUUCAGCCUACCGGUACUAAUAGCCCGAGGGCUUGACCU
rnacentral:rRNA from 1 species